rnacentral:lncRNA from 1 species
UAUUCCUAUGUCUAUGCACAUGGCACAUUGUGUUAUUCGUUAAUUACAACGUGUUUAUAUACUUGUCCAUUUUGUUAUGCCUAAUACGCUUUGUUUAAUUUGUACCAUAUGUUGUGUAUUACAAUUAUUGUGUAAUUGUGAAUUUGUGAAUUCGUAAUACGUAAACGUACAGCCACGGAAAGCAACCAUGUAUUUCUGUUUGACUUUUAAAUGUUUACAUUGUGAUUAUGACAUUCAAGGUUUUGCAAUUCUGCGUUGCUACUACCUGUAAAUCUUCAAUUUAAAUUCUAUGCACUUAUUGGAAAACUAGCAGAUAGCAGAGAUCAUGUUAUGGUAUUCAAGUGAAUAUUGAAACACUGAAUACGACAUGGAAAGAAAACGAUAUAAACUGUGGCUACAAGCAAACUUCAACAAAAAUAUGGUGUCGAAAGCUACAUACACGAGGUGGAAACGGAAAUACGACACAAUGCUACUUCACAUAAAUGAACGCACAGUCAAAGUAUCUAAUGAGGAUAUGGAUUUGAGGACAAUAUAAUAGACGCUGGUAGCGCCACAGGGAGUGAUGACAAUUCAAGACGAAGAUGAAGAUUACAACAUUGAAGGCGAAGAUGAAGAUCACAACAUUUAAGACGAAGAUAAAGAUGACAACGUUGAAGGCGAAGAUGAAGAUCGUAACAUUCAAGAUGAAAAGGAAGAUGACAAAAUUCAAGACGCAGAUGAAGAGAGACAACAUUCAAAAUAAAGAUGAAGAUGACAUAGACACGCAAACUGAAGCAUUGCAUAUGCAUACAGGAUGCAUACAAUAAUGUUUCCGGCGUCAGGCUUAAGUGUAAACGAUGUUAUCACGAUGGUUGCUGGGCAUUGUUUGCGAUACAAUACCUCUAAUGAAGCAAAUUUAUAAUGGAACUCUUAAAAAUCCCCUAAUAAUUUGAAUAGCUAAAAAUAUUCCUAGGAGAGAUCCGAAGUUUCAUCAGUAUGAAAUGUUUGUUGGAGUGGGUAAUUUUAGUAAGGAGUCAUUUAAUAUAGUCACUAAGUUAAAUUUUUUUAUGAUUAUAAAAAAAGAGAUAUAAGAUUAAUUAGAAAUUUUUUGUAAGGGUUUUGAUUUUAAUAAAGAGAUUUUAAUAAUUGUGAAUAAUCUGAUUAAUAAAAAUAUUAUACAUAUAAUUGUUAGGUUAUUAAAAGGAUAUCUAUAGAGAUUUAAAAUUGUGCAGGACCAGUUUUUCAUAAUAUUAGUGUAUCAAAUUAUAGAUUUGCGAAGCAGUUUAACCCACCGGAUGACAAAAUAAGUUAUCAUUUUUAUUGCACUAGUUGUAAUAGUAAAUUGUAAUAGUAAAUUGUAUUUAACUACGAAGCAACAGUUUGCUGCGAAUCGAAAAUUGUGCGAAUCUUGCAACCGCAAACACAAAAUUUUUUUUGUUAAGAAAAAACAUGUUUGUAUCGAUAGAUCUGCGAUAUCAAAUUGAUUUAGUUCUGCAGGAUACAAAUGUUCGGAAAGCUCUUAUUCAAAAAAUGAAUGCUAGGAACAUUAGGGAAGACGGGUGCAUUACUGACUUAAGUGACGAAGAAUUAUAUCGCGAAAUUAUUACAAAAUGUCCCACUUCUUUAACGUAUAAUAUUAAUAUUGACGGAGCGCCAUUAUUUCAUAAAUCAAAACAAAGCUUUUGGCCUCUUCAACUUAUUUUAAACGAUUUGCCACCAAAAAUGAGAUUCAAAUAGGUAUUAAUGGCAGGUGUCAUGAUUGUUAAGCAUGAGCUGACUUCUCGGCUUAUGAACAUAUACCUCGAAGAGUUAGUUCAACAAAUAUUUCGAUUAUGUGAAGACGAUAUCGAUUUUGGCAUAACGAUUAAUGAUGUACAAACCUCAUGUACACUAACAAUGUUAUGUUGGUCGGUCGAUUCCGUAGCUCAAGCUAUAAUCCAAAAUAAGGUCCAAUUUAAUGAUUAUUUUGGAUGUAGCUACUGUUAUUACCCUGGAUUAUAUCUUUCUGCAAUACGGUAUCUUUUCGAAUACGAAGAAUCUGAAUUAAGAACUUACGAGUCUCAUUUACAAGAUGUUCAAGUAUCCGCUAUAACCCCUAUAGUAUCACGAAGUCGAGGAGUGAAAGGCCAUUCGGUACUUGCAUCAUUUCCCUAUUUUGAUAUGGUCUGGGGUUUUCCACUUAAUGGUAUGCCAUUAUUUUAGGCGUAACAAAGCAUGUGUGGGAGUUGUUCACAAAAAUUCUAAGUCACAGCGCAAAGCAAAUAUUCCUCUCAAUAUUCGUGCAUUAUAACUGUAGAUAUUCGAAAAACGGGCAACGCCGUCUCAAAGCGGGAAAAUGUAAUUAACAGUACAUAAUUUGACGUAUCCGUUUUUCGAAUCUACAGUUUAUCUACAGUUAUAAUGCACGAAUAUUGAGAGGUGAAGCACGCAUGUCCGAUAUGCAUGCCUGACAUGUCGACGAGACGCGUGUAACUUCAUGUGAGAAGGCAUUCCUGUCCCCGUGUGUACAUUCUCUUAUCCAUGCCGUUCAGUCAGUUCAAAAGUCUCUCUUUGGGCUACAUCGGUUUUUCCAUACGAAAGCAAUAUUUUUGUUUUGAAACAAUUAGUCAAUGGACCAAAAGGUGUGGAACAACAAAUUGCCAAAAAAUCUUUACAAGUCAUGACAUAUCGAGUAGGCGUAGCCACGCAUUCCUUAUCAAACGAUGUAAAAAUGUAUUGCGAGAAGCUUGUGCGAGAGUUGCGAGAAUUUUGUGAAAGUCGUUUAACUCGAAGCGUGGAAGUGAAAGAUGGUGUAACAUUUUUUGGAUUUGUACAUUAUAAAGAUGCAUGCAUAGCUAGGGGUACAACAAAUGUAUAUAUAACUGCCAGUUAUACUAAAAUAAAAAUUACACUCGAUCUAAAAGAUGGAAUAAUAGUAUUGUCCAACUCAAGUCUGAGAAGAUUGUACAAAUUUCUGAAAUAAUCAGUUUGCCAGAUACUGGGUGUUAUUUUAAUGUAAACGAAUUUUCUAUUGAGAAGAUCGUUAUCGGAGAAGUUGAAAUGCCACAUAUGUGGAAGAUAAGAUCGUUAGAAACAAAUAGCCGACUAUUAGUACCGAUAGUCGAUGUUGCUUCGAAGAUGGUUCUCAUAGACCAGGCCUGGCCAAAAGCUUGCUCGCGAGCAAGCUUUUGGCCAGGCCUGUUCUAUAGCAAAUUUAUUCGAAGCCGAUUGAUUAAUAUAGAAAUUUGUACUUUUGUAAGCUUUUUGAAAUCAACGAAGCAUAAUGUUAUGUAGAAUUGCGAAUCUUAUUCUUAUAUUUUAUUAUCAACUUGUAUGACGAAAUUGUAAAAUUGAUAAAUAAAAAUCCCAUUUUUGUAA